rnacentral:misc_RNA from 1 species
GAUGAAGAACGUAGCGAAAUGCGAUAAGUAAUGUGAAUUGCAGAAUUCAGUGAAUCAUCGAAUCUUUGAACGCACAUUGCGCCCGCCAGUAUUCUGGCGGGCAUGCCUGUUCGAGCGUCAUUUCAACCAUCAAGCCCCAGGCUUGUGUUGGGGACCUGCGGCUGCCGCAGGCCCUGAAAACCAGUGGCGGGCUCGCUGUCACACCGGGCGUAGUAGAUUUUAUCUCGCUCAGGGCGUGCUGCGGGUUCCGGCCGUUAAAAAGCCUUUUUUACCCAAGGUUGACCUCGGAUCAGGUAGGAAGACCCGCUGAACUUAAGCAUACAAUAAGCGGAGGA